rnacentral:rRNA from 1 species
GUAGGGUCCGAGCGUUGUCCGGAAUUAUUGGGCGUAAAGGGCUCGUAGGCGGUCUGUCGCGUCGGGAGUGAAAACACGGGGCUUAACCCCGUGCCUGCUUCCGAUACGGGCAGACUAGAGGUAUGCAGGGGAGAACGGAAUUCCUGGUGUAGCGGUGAAAUGCGCAGAUAUCAGGAGGAACACCGGUGGCGAAGGCGGUUCUCUGGGCAUUACCUGACGCUGAGGAGCGAAAGUGUGGGGAGCGAACAGGAUUAGAUACCCUGGUAGUCCACACCGUAAACGUUGGGCGCUAGGUGUGGGACUCAUUCCACGAGUUCCGUGCCGCAGCUAACGCAUUAAGCGCCCCGCCUGGGGAGUACGGCCGCAAGGCUAAA